rnacentral:misc_RNA from 1 species
GUGGUUUCUGAUUAUGGACUUGCUGCAAUUUUGAAGAAAACUGCUUGCCGGAAAGCUCGUUCAGAGUGUGAGUCUGCGAAAAUCCAUUCAUGUAUGGACUGUACAAUGCUCAGCCCACACUACACAGCACCAGAGGCAUGGGAGCCAGUGAAGAAGUCAUUGAAUUUAUUCUGGGACGACUCAAUUGGUAUUUCUGCAGAGUCAGAUGCCUGGAGUUUUGGUUGUACAUUGGUGGAAAUGUGCACAGGCUCCAUCCCGUGGGCCGGUUUAAGUGCUGAGGAAAUUUAUCGAGCUGUUGUCAAGACUCGAAAAUUGCCUCCACAAUAUGCAAGUGUAGUGGGAGUUGGAAUGCCUAGAGAAUUGUGGAAGAUGAUUGGAGAGUGCCUACAGUUCAAGGCAGCAAAAAGGCCAAGUUUUAAUGCAAUGUUAGCAAUAUUCCUUCGUCAUCUGCAAGGGUUGCCACGCAGCCCUCCUGCCAGCCCUGAUAAUAGCUUUGCAAAAUAUCCUGGAUCAAGUGUGACAGAACCAUCUCCCACAUCUGAUUUGGAGGUUUUUCAGGAUAAUCCUAGCCAUUUACAUAGGCUAGUAUCAGAAGGGGAUGUAAAUGGCGUGAGAGAUUUGCUUGGAAGGGCUGCAUCAGGAAACAGUGGUGGCUCAGUAUCUAUACUAUUAGAAGCGCAAAAUGCUGACGGGCAGACUGCUCUUCAUCUGGCUUGUAGACGCGGUAGUGCAGAACUUGUUCAGUCUAUUUUGGCAUACAGGCAGGCAAAUGUGGAUGUUUUGGAUAAAGA